AUUCAGUAUUGAUUGCAGAAGCUUAACCAGUAAUCCCCCAAUGAAUGAUUCCUCAGUAUUCCAGCUUAACUGGCUUGAAAAUAGGCUAUCCAAGAGCACCUUCAGGUCAGCUACCUUGGCUUCUAUGGAUCAAACUUUCCCCCUGAAACCAGGAACUUUGCACUGAACACAUAUCCAUGACUUCUGUCCAGUGCAAGAGAACACAGGCAGAGGAGAUGGGUGGAAGACACAAAGAUAAUAAGAAACUGAUGUAUACCUUGGUGCACCACAUUUUUUAAUUUCUAGUUUGCUGAAGUCUGAAAAUAUCUUAAAACUGGAAGUAAAAGAUGGCCACGUUUUAAAAGCCUCAUGUUAGUUAAAUAAAGAAAUAAGAAUAAAUUGUACCUGGCAAACCAAUGUUUUCCCUAGGAUCUGAAAAAAAUACUUAAUAACUAACAAUUCCUAUUCCACAGCA